rnacentral:rRNA from 1 species
ACAUCCAAGGAAGGCAGCAGGCGCGCAAAUUACCCACUCUCAAAACGAGGAGGUAGUGAAGAGAAAUAACGAUGUUAGUCUUUUAUAGGCUGACAAUCGGAAUGGGAACACUGUAAACAGGUUAUCGAUUAACAAUUGGAGGGCAAGUCUGGUGCCAGCAGCCGCGGUAAUUCCAGCUCCAAUAAGGAAAACUAAAGUUGCUGUGUUUAAAAAGCUCGUAGUUGAAUUUCGGGUAUUUGUUGCUAGCUGGUCUUACUGGCCAUGUUGGUUAACAGAUCCUCAUUUGCUGGACGGCUGGCGAUGAUCUUUAUCGAUUGUCGUUAGUUGCCAGAACGUUUACUUUGAGAAAAUUAGAGUGCUAAAAGCAGGCUCACGCCUAUAUAUAUUGCAUGGAAUAAUGAAAUAAGAUCUCGAUUUUAUUUCGUUGGUUUUAGAAAUUGAGAUAAUGAUUAAUAGGAUCAGAGGGGGGCGUACGUACUGUGGUGUGAGAGGUGAAAUUCUUGGAUCGCCACAGGACGAACAGCAGCGAAGGCGUUCGCCAAGAAUGUUUUCAUUAAUCAAGAACGAAAGUUUGAGGUUCGAAGACGAUUAGAUACCGUCCUAGUUCAAACCAUAAACGUUGCCAACUGUCUUUUAGAUGCGGUUAUUUACAUGACUCAUCUGGCGGAUCUCGAGAAAUCUAAGUUUUUAGGUUCCGGGGGAAGUAUGGUUGCAAAGCUGAAACUUAAAAGAAUUGACGGAAGGACACACAAGAAGUGGAGCCUGUGGCCUAAUUUGACUCAACACGGGAAACCUUACUCGGCCAGGACACUUUGAGGAUUGACAGAUUGAGAGAUCACUAGUGAA